rnacentral:tRNA from 1 species
GCACCGGUAGCUCAACCGGAUAGAGUAUCUGGCUACGGACCAGAAGGUUAGAGGUUCGACUCCUCUCCGGUGCG